UAUUUUAAACCAUACAUGUAUAUAUGAAAUUUACAUGUCAAAAUCCUUGAGGAACAGUACUACAGUCUCGCUAGUAAAAUGCACAGAAACUGUUCGAUGAAAUUCCCGGUAGGAUAUAAAAAUUUCGUUUCCGUCCCUUUUUCGGGCGAAAGAUUUUGAAGUAGCGAUGGAUAAUCAUGACAAGUAAGUGGACAGAUAACUCUUAUGACAACAGGGUAUCCAGAAAAAACAAGAAAAUAGUAAAUGCUCAGCAUUUCCUUCCAUCUUGAUCAACUAGCGUGCAAUCGUAUCAGCUUAGUUUUUACUCGUAUAUUCAGCCUUGAAGAUACCCAACUCAAUUAUCAUCGCAAACCACCCUUUAUUCCCAUUACGCUGGG
rnacentral:misc_RNA from 1 species